AUUGAACGCUGGCGGCAGGCCUAACACAUGCAAGUCGAGCGGAUGAAGGGAGCUUGCUCCUGGAUUCAGCGGCGGACGGGUGAGUAAUGCCUAGGAAUCUGCCUGGCAGUGGGGGAUAACGUCCGGAAACGGGCGCUAAUACCGCAUACGUCCAGAGGGUGAAAGUGGGGGAUCUUCGGACCUCAAGCUAUCAGAUGAGCCUAGGUCGGAUUAGCUAGUUGGUGGGGUAACGGGCUACCAAGGCGACGAUCCGUAACUGGUCUGAGAGGAUGAUCAGUCACACUGGAACUGAGACACGGUCCAGACUCCUACGGGAGGCAGCAGUGGGGAAUAUUGGACAAUGGGCGAAAGCCUGAUCCAGCCAUGCCGCGUGUGUGAAGAAGGUCUUCGGAUUGUAAAGCACUUUAAGUUGGGAGGAAGGGCAGUAAGUUAAUACCUUGCUGUUUUGACGUUACCAACAGAAUAAGCACCGGCUAACUUCGUG
rnacentral:rRNA from 1 species